UCUGGGUUGGCCGAGUGGUUAAGGCGUUGGACUUAAGUUCCAAUGGACAGUGUCCGCGUGGGUUCGAACCCCACACCCAGUA
rnacentral:tRNA from 1 species